UGGGGAAUAUUGGACAAUGGGCGAAAGCCUGAUCCAGCCAUGCCGCGUGUGUGAAGAAGGUCUUCGGAUUGUAAAGCACUUUAAUUUGGGAGGAAGGGCAGUAAGCGAAUACCUUGCUGUUUUGACGUUACCGACAGAAUAAGCACCGGCUAACUCUGUGCCAGCAGCCGCGGUAAUACAGAGGGUGCAAGCGUUAAUCGGAAUUACUGGGCGUAAAGCGCGCGUAGGUGGUUCGGUAAGUUGAAUGUGAAAGCCCCGGGCUCAACCUGGGAACUGCAUCCAAAACUGGCGAGCUAGAGUAGGGCAGAGGGUGGUGGAAUUUCCUGUGUAGCGGUGAAAUGCGUAGAUAUAGGAAGGAACACCAGUGGCGAAGGCGACCACCUGGGCUCAAACUGACACUGAGGUGCGAAAGCGUGGGGAGCAAACAGG
rnacentral:rRNA from 1 species